rnacentral:rRNA from 1 species
UGGCCUACGGGAGGCAGCAGUAGGGAAUUUUCGUCAAUGGGCGCAAGCCUGAACGAGCAAUGCCGCGUGAACGAGGAAAGUCUUCGGAUCGUAAAGUUCUGUUGAAGGGGAAAAAGAGCGGAGAGAGGAAAUGGUCUCCGAUUGAUAUUACCCUUCGAGGAAGUCACGGCUAACUACGUGCCAGCAGCCGCGGUAAUACGGAGGAUGCGAGCGUUAUCCGGAUUUAUUGGGUUUAAAGGGUGCGCAGGCGGUCUGUUAAGUCAGCGGUCAAAGCCCGGGGCUCAACCCCGGC